ensembl:lncRNA
UAGAGAGGCUAUAUACAGUAGAGAGGCUAUAUACAGUAGAGAGGCUAUAUACAGUAGAGAGGCUAUAUACAGUAGAGAGGUUAUAUACAGUAGAGGCUAUAUACAGUAGAGAGGCUAUAUAUAGUAGAGAGGUUAUAUACAGUAGAGAGGCUAUAUACAGUAGAGGUUAUAUACAGUAGAGAGGUUAUAUACAGUAGAGAGGCUAUAUACAGUAGAGAGGCUAUAUACAGUAGAGAGGCUAUAUACAGUAGAGAGGCUAUAUACAGUAGAGAGGCUAUAUACAGUAGAGAGGCUACAUACAGUAGAGAGGCUACAUACAGUAGAGGGGUUAUAUACAGUAGAGAGGCUAUAUACAGUAGAGAGGCUAUAUACAGUAGAGAGGCUAUAUACAGUAGAGAGGCUCUAUACAGUAGAGGGGAUAUAUACAGGAGAGAGGCUAUAUACAGUAGAGGCUAUAUACAGUAGAAAGGCUAUAUACAGUAGAGAGGCUAUAUACAGUAGAGAGGAUAUAUACAGUAGAGGGGCUAUAUACAGUAGAGAGGUUAUAUACAGUAGAGAGGCUAUAUACAGUAGAGAGGUUAUAUACAGUAGAGGCUAUAUACAGUAGAGAGGCUAUAUACAGUAGAGAGGCUAUAUACAGUAGAGAGGUUAUAUACAGUAGAGAGGCUAUAUACAGUAGAGAGGUUAUAUACAGUAGAGGCUAUAUACAGUAGAGAGGCUAUAUAUAGUAGAGAGGUUAUAUACAGUAGAGAGGCUAUAUACAGUAGAGGUUAUAUACAGUAGAGAGAUUAUAUACAGUAGAGAGGCUAUAUACAGUAGAGGGGCUAUAUACAGUAGAGGGGCUAUAUACAGUAGAGAGGCUAUAUACAGUAGAGAGGCUAUAUACAGUAGAGUGGAUAUAUACAGUAGAGAGGCUAUAUACAGUAGAGAGGCUCUAUACAGUAGAGAGGAUAUAUACAGUAGAGAGGCUAUAUACAGUAGAGAGGCUCUAUACAGUAGAGAGGAUAUAUACAGUAGAGAGGCUAUAUACAGUAGAGAGGCUAUAUACAGUAGAGAGGAUAUAUACAGUAGACAGGCAAUAUACAGUAGAGGGGCUAUAUACAGUAGAGAGGCUAUAUACAGUAGAGGGGCUAUAUACUGUAGAGAGGCUAUAUACAGUAGGGGCUAUAUACAGUAGAGAGGCUAUAUACAGUAGAGGCUAUAUACAGUAGAGGGGAUAUAUACAGGAGAGAGGCUAUAUACAGCAGAGAGGCUAUAUACUGUAGAGAGGCUAUAUACAGUAGAGAGGCUAUAUACAGUAGAGAGGCUAUAUACAGUAGAGGGGCUAUAUACAGUAGAGAGGCUAUAUACAGUAGAGAGGUUAUAUACAGUAGAGAGGCUAUAUACAGUAGAGGCUAUAUACAGUAGAGAGGUUAUAUACAGUAGAGGCUAUAUACAGUAGAGAGGCUAUAUGAAGUAGAGAGGCUAUAUACAGUAGACAGGCUAUAUACAGUAGAGGGGCUAUAUACAGUAGAGAGGAUAUAUACAGUAGAGAGGUUAUAUACAGUAGAGAGGCUAUAUACAGUAGAGGCUAUAUACAUUAGAGAGGUUAUAUACAGUAGAGGCUAUAUACAGUAGAGAGGCUAUAUACAGUAGAGGGGCUAUAUACAGUAGAGAGGCUAUAUACAGUAGAGAGGCUAUAUACAGUAGAGAGGCUAUAUACAGUAGAGAGGCUAUAUACAGUAGAGAGGCUAUAUACAGUAGAGAGGCUAUAUACAGUAGAGAGGCUAUAUACAGUAGAGAGGCUAUAUACAAUAGAGGCUAUAUACAGUAGAGAGGCUAUAUACAGUAGAGGCUAUAUACAGUAGAGAGGCUAUAUAGAGUAGUGUGGCUACAUACAGUAGAGGGGCUAUAUACAGUAGAGAGGCUAUAUACAGUAGAGGGGCUAUAUACAGUAGAGAGGCUAUAUACAGUAGAGAGGCUAUAUACAGUAGAGGGACUAUAUAUAGUAGAGAGGCUAUAUACAGUAGAGAGGCUACAUACAGUAGAGGCUAUAUACAGUAGAGGGGCUAUAUACAGUAGAGAGGCUAUAUACAGUAGAGUCUAUAUACAGUAGAGAGUCUAUAUACAGUAGAGAGGCUAUAUACAGUAGAAGGACUAUAUAUAGUAGAGAGGCUAUAUACAGUAGAGGCUAUAUACAGUAGAGAGGCUACAUACAGUAGAGGCUAUAUACAGUAGAG